GUGACUGUAGCUCAAUAGGUGGAGCGCCAGAUUGUGGAUCUGGAGGUCGCGGGUUCGACCCCCGUCAGUCACCCCA
rnacentral:tRNA from 1 species